ensembl:lncRNA
AGAAGAUCCAAUGUUUUCUUUUUUUUUAAAUAACAGUUGUUUCACAACCGUAUCAAAAACAGAAGUCUACUUUCCCUCUGCCUCUAUAAUACUGACGCCUUCAUUGGCAUGAAAAGAAUUGUUGAUAAAAUCACUACGAGUAACCCACCAAAAUCUAUCUGAAAGUUUGUAUGGGAACUGUUAGGUCACGGCCUGCAGUAGCGAUUGAGCACCUGGUGAAGAGGCGUGGCUAGCCCUUGGAGCACAGGUGCAGACAAUUCACCUGUGCAAUGGGACAGAUGCACCCUGGGUAAACCUCCUCCCUCAUUUAAGGGCUGGCAGCGGAGGGGGAAGCAUCUGUUUUUGGAGAUCAUCGUCUCUCUGGAAGUUUUUAGUGAGCCUUUCCUUUGGAAUAAGGAACUGUGUGACCAAAAGUGGUGGAGCCCAGCUCCCCCUCUCCUAGCCCCCAUUUAAGGGCUAACAGCCACUGAGGAAGGAUCCCUUCUUGGAAGUUGCUUCCUUUGGGAGUUUCUCUGCGAGCCUAGGAUGUGGAUGAGCUUUUUCAUUUAUUUUUGAUUAUCCCACCAAUAGGUCUGUGGCCUACGGAUAUUGUAGUCAACACUCUGAUCUCCCUUGCUAAAGGGACCCCCCCAUCAUGUCCCUAUGGCAGAUGAGGACACCCCCUCCGAUGACUGAUGUAGUUGAGCAGCUGCAGAAAUCUGGCCAAAGGGUACGGUACAGGCGGUUGGGGCAUGCCCCUGAACAGACUGUAGUGAUGACCCAAGAUGGAAAUAAAGCCUGUAUCUCACCCUGGAGGGUGGACCUUCUCCUGCUUGUACCCCUCAAACCUGGGUAUUAGUCUCUAUGAGUCUUCAAGCCUCUAGGAUGAUCGGAAGGAACAAAAUACCAUCAUAGCGUUCCUGUGAGAUCUUGUGUGACACCCAGUGAACCGUCUACAUUGGACUGAUGGAGCACAGGAUGGGCCUUAACGUCAAGACGACAUGCCUCCAGUAAUAACAUGAAGCACGGGCUCAUGAAAGAGCAUGAACAUACACUGUAUACUGAUUAUCACUCUUAUUAAAUAGUGUUAUCGUGACGGGCAAUGGUAUAGCGUUGUGGUGUGUCAG